UCCCCCGUAGCUCAAUUGGCAGAGCGUCCGACUGUUAAUCGGAAGGUUACUGGUUCAAGUCCAUUCGGGGGAGCCA
rnacentral:tRNA from 3 species